rnacentral:tRNA from 1 species
GGGUAUAGCUCAGUGGUGGAGUACGUACUUAGCACACAUGAGGUCCUGGGUUCAAUUCCCAGUACUUCCU